UACGUAGGUGGCAAGCGUUGUCCGGAUUUAUUGGGUUUAAAGGGUGCGUAGGCGGCCUUGUAAGUCAGUGGUGAAAUACUCCAGCUUAACUGGAGGGGUGCCAAUGAUACUGCAGGGCUUGAGUACAGAUGAGGUAGGCGGAAUUGACGGUGUAGCGGUGAAAAUGCAUAGAUAUCGUCAAGAACACCGAUAGCGAAGGCAGCUUACUGGGCUGUAACUGACGCUGAGGCACGAAAAGUGUGGGGGAUCAAAACAGG
rnacentral:rRNA from 1 species